rnacentral:lncRNA from 1 species
AUGAGCGGCGGCGGCGCAACAGUUGGGAGUGGUCGCCGGUGGGGCCGCGCGGAGGCAGGGUCGACGCGCAGCGUGCGGGCGUGGCAGCAGCGCGCGGGCUUUGACGCUGCCAUUGUAUUUGAAGAAAAAAAAGGCCAGGUUGUAUCUCUUAUGGUAGUUGCUUCCUUUGGAAAGCAGAUAUGUUUCAGAAGCAAAGCUAAGUAUGAAGAUGUGCUGCCUGCUGUAAUUGAUCUUUUCAAGGAGCGCCAUUGCAGUAGCAAGACAGUGGCGGGGACUGGUGGGAGAGAGUGGUUUGGAGGCCGGCGGGAGGGGAUCAACAGCGCACGCUGGCCCGGAGGGUGGAAGGGAGAGGAGUGGCGGCGCACGCCGCUCCGACGGAAAGGGCAACCAACAGGAGCGCCGCAAGGUAGGAAGCGAGCUCGUCUGGGCGGCCGGCGGGAGGGCAGGAGAGCGGCGGCGGUGCGCGGGGACCGGCAGGAGGGAGCGGCGCGUGGCGGCUGGCGGGAGAGGAUCAGCAGUUCACGUCGGCCGGAGGACGGGAGGGAGAGGAGCAGCGGCUAGGGGUGUAAGU